rnacentral:rRNA from 1 species
AUACGUAGGGGGCGAGCGUUGUCCGGAAUGAUUGGGUUUAAAGGGUGCGUAGGCGGAUGAUUAAGCGUGAGGUGAAAUGCCACUGCUCAACAGUGGAACUGCCUCGCGAACUGGUUGUCUUGAAUGCUCCUGCCGUGGGAGGAAUGUGUGGUGUAGCGGUGAAAUGCAUAGAGAUCACACAGAACACCGAUUGCGAAGGCAUCUCACGAGAGGUUGAUGGACGCUGAGGCACGAAAGCGUGGGGAUCAAACAGUAUUAGAUACCCUGGUAGUCCACGCAGUAAACGUUGAUGGCUAACCGCAGGGCUUAUCAGUUCAGUGGCCUAGCGAAAGCGAUAAGCCAUCCACCUGGGGAGUACGACCGCAAGGUUGAAACUCAAAUGAAUUGGCUGGG